UUUUCGGAUGUUAAACCGUUUAGUAUGUUUAUUUAAAUCGUCGGGAGUUGAUGGUGGUCUACGCUGAGGUUUAUGGUGUUUCGGGUUCCAGGGUUUUUACGCAAAGAAGUGGAAAAGCUCGCAGCCAACGAACUCAUGGUCGUGAAUUCAUCAGUCGUUAGUGAAGAGCCACUUAGACUUCAAAGCCUCAUCAUUUCUGAGAAAUUGAAAACAAUCUGAAUUCUAAAGUCUCUUGAAUGAAAGUUAAAAUGUGAAACAACUCUACAAUCCGUAGGAUUAGCUCAUCGACCAAGGAGUCCAACGUAAGCAGAGUUUCUGCAGAGGAUGUAACUAUAGUAGCUAGCACUUUUCUGGAUAUCCCUAGUCUCUUGAAGUGCUUAUUUGGUAGUUCUGUCAAUGGAGCUAAGAAUGUAGCAUCAUAAAAACUCGAGGACUUUUUAUCAGUCCUUGACGCUUAGCAAAUCGGGCCAGCUCUUACCACUUGGUCUACUACUGUAUUGGUCGUUCCUUGGAAAUUCCUCUUGAAAUAUUUUCUGGUUGACCUUUGGCCCCUUGUUGGCUUUCGUCUGGAAGCUCUGCUCAAAUUCAGUAGCAGUUUUUCAAGUAUGUAUUUUGAUAGUUUUGUUAAUCCCCUGUUAAUGUAACUUGAUUGGUUGUGUCAAGUGUAACUUGUUAAUUACCGCAAUGAAACUAAGUUGAUUCCUCCUGUAUUUUUACCUGACACGGUGCUGAAAAUGUAUUAGUUAGAUUAGAAUUUAUUUUAAUAAUCAGCUUGUAAUGACUUUGGGUGGAAAAAUACUUCAUUUUUGUAAUAAAACUGUCCAGGAUUUAUUUUUUAUUAAAUACCGAAUGCACUAAAUAUUCAUUAAUAUAGUAAUUCUGUACCUUUAAGAGUAAUAACUAGUCUGUUGGUGGUUAGUACCUUUCCUCAACAUUUACAAGUAAAAAUUUUAUAAGUUAAGUUUACCUUGAACUUUAACCAGGUUAGAACAAACGUCAGAACUACCUUUUGUUGUGACUUGGUGUAGCUUUAGUGAAUAGUGAUAGACUAGUUUUAAAAUUCUCGCUACCUUUUACAGAAAAAUUACUUCAAAUAAGUCACUUGGUAUUGUAAGCCAUUAAAUUUUCAAAUAAAAUACUAUAGUUUGAGCUAAUUACAUGAAAGUGUUUUUUGAAAAUAUUCUAAAUCUUUAUUAAACCACUGAAUAGAAACAUGGUUUAUAGUUUAAUGAAAUUUAAUUUUAACAAUGUAUCUUUAAAUUCAAGCAAAAUUAAAGGUCGAAAGCUUAAGUAAUUUACAAAAUAACUUAAUACAUUAUAAAAACGGGUCAAGCAAUUAAGCUUUGACCGUUUAAGAUUUUUUAGGUAUCGUGAAAGAUAAAACCUAAAGACAAUUUUUAUGAAAGCGAGGGUGAGAUUUAAGUUAAAUAUCUAGCUUUUGUUUGUCAAGCAAUUGUUGAUUGAAUACAUAAAUAGGAAUAGACUUUUGUUACAAGAAAUUUAUUGGUAGAAUUCAAAGCAGUCAUUCAGCACCUAACAAUGAGUGUUAAAUGGUCUAUUUCAAAUUAAUCUCUCUCUCUCUCUCUCUCUCUCUCUCUCUCUCUCUCUCUCUCUCUCUCUCUCUCUCUCUCUCUCUCUCUCCCCUAUACAUAUUUAGGCAUGUUAACAUUACCAAGAGGUGUCAUUAAUUAAUUGCAUAUCUCUAUUUCACCCACUAAAACAGUUACCCCAAUGAAUUACAUUUUCUAUAAGCUGAAUAAACUUAAGGGUGGUUCCUAUUUCUAGAGAAUUAUUAUUGUUGUUGUUGUUAGAUUCAGUCUCGAGAGA